ensembl:lncRNA
GGAUGUUAUGUAGGAGACAGGAAAAUGAAGGUCAUGGCCUUUAUCGUCAGACCAUCUUGGAGAAGAGUGAGAUGUAUGAGUUAUUUAUACACCAGGAUAAGGAACAACUGAAUCUGGUCUCUAACAGGUGCCAUCUAACUACUCAAAGUAUCUAUGUAUGAUAACAUUCAUAAGAUUUUCUCAAAAAAGGAACUAAAAUUUGAUGAUGACUCUCCUCCAUCCAUGUGAAUGGAAACAAUGCCUGGGAAUAGCAGAGGAACAAGGGAAAACUCUGAAUUACUAAUCCAUGGAGCAGCCAUAACAGCUCUGAUAUGCUUCUCAUACAACCUAGGUAAAACAGAAAC